CAGAUAUCCAGUUUAUCAAGACGAUAUUUCGUCAAGUGAAGAUCAGUAUUGUUCGGAGGACGAAGAAAUGAUCGAUAAUUGUCCCACUGACAGUGAAGACAUGGAUACUUCAUCCGCCGUUGAUGCUUUAACAACGCCGAGAUUUGAAGAAGGGUACCCAAUAAAAAAUGACAUUGGAAAGAACAACAGCAGAAGAGGGCCAAUGAAUUACGGAGAAAUGUAUUAUACGCCCCUAG